AGUAUGUAUAUACUUAAUAUUUUGGUUUAUUGAGCUUAGAACAAAUAAAAAUUAAAACUACAUAUCUUUUCAAUUCAAUUCAAAAUAACAAGUUCUUGAGCUUUGGCUGGAAGAGAGUUUAAAGGAGAAUCGCUGCUUUUCCUAUUCAUCAAGGAAAUCACUGGAUCGGAUGUUAGAAGCAAACGUUGGAAGACGUCUUCGAUGUUUGCCGUUCUGCUGAAUUUCCUGGAGUGGAAUUCUCGGAACUUUCUGAUAGACUUGUUCCGGGUCUCCAGUGCUUCCUCGCUCAACAUUCCAACAGGAACAGUACUGUGCUUCGCGAUGGUACCGCCGUGGACCAAAAUUUUGUGGAGAGUUGGAGACAGCGGAUACCAACCAUAUAGGCUAGAAUAAAUAAUUAUUAUUAUCCAAUUCCAUUAUUAUUAGUUUUAUUAUUAUUAUAUGUCAAACUACAUCUUACCUGAUAUAAAGUUUCCUAGUCGUUUCCAAGUAGUUUUGGAAUACUUCCACGUUGAUAUCACUCUUACAGUUGAUAAUAACUAGAAUGAUGUACAUUCUCUCCAGUAAUUUCGCAGAUUGUACGCCAUUCUUUGAAGAACGUUCGUGAGGUAUUACCAUCAUUGCUGUUGCCACCGCUCGGUAACGGUUCGCCAAUUCUGAGCCCUAGUCUUCGUUUUAUUUCGGCUCGAAUGGUGGCUUCUCGUUGACGGACAGCUUCGUUAGACUUCGCUACGCACCAUGUCGGUUUUUCCAUUUUUAGUCGAUAUGCUACCUUAAGAAACAGUUCCAUUGUCCGAAUAUAGCAAUGGAGAGGGGAGAAUCCACGAGAGAACUUUUCAGCGUUGGUCUCGUUCAGAUCGUUGGUUGCGUCAUUCAGAUUCUUUCCGCUUUUCCCACAAAAUGAGCAGGAUUGCGAGUUUGUUUCUGUGAGGUCGUUUACUACCUUAGUAUCCAUCAUACUUAGAAUUAACGAAGAAUAUACAGUAAUUGUCCGACCGUCUUGAAGAAUAUCAGUUGGCCUCAGAUUUUUUAUUUGAUCUCGCACUUUCUCAACUUCAUUUCGCGUUAGCUGAGCAGAUUCCUUCAAAAAAAAUUAGCUUGAUCGGUCUGCACAACGAAACGGAAGAAGGUAGAUCAUUUUUCCAAAAAAUAUCUCGUUCGUGCUCUGAGAUUCUUCCAAUUAAUUGGAGAGGAACAAGAGCCAUCGAAAAUAUGUGUGAAUCAUUGUACUGUCGUAAUUCACCGUCUUCAUCCGUUUCAACAAAGUUUUGCUUAUAGCGAGAGUGAUUGCUACUGCCAUCGCAGCCCCACUUAUAGUUAAUCUCAAACGUAUUACAAGCCGAACCAGCAAGAAUAAUUCUAUGGCUUUCUAUUAAGCGUUUGUUUGUGUGGUCAACUAGGGAUUGGAGGGGAACUUCGGCUGCUGAUGGUUUUAUCGUAAUACCUGAAAAUUAUGAAUAUCUCAUGAUUAUUUUUGCAUUCCCAUAAUUAUCUGUCCAUAAGCAACAUAGAUUCAUUUCGAUCAUGUUAGAUAAUAGAAAAGAUGUUUUGUGAUGCCUUUAUAGUGUAUGAAUGGGCCCUAUCUAAUGAAAUAGAAAUUACCUUCAGGAUACGUCAGCUUCUUUUCCUCCAAAACCCGAUUGUAGGACGGAUACAAAUCACACCCUUUCUUCAAAUCCGAUGCACGAAUGUCAUUGUAUUGACUCUUGGAAAAUCCGUUCUUACAAAUGAAUGCCAAAGCUUCAGUCGGUGAAUACUGCUCCACUCCGGCAUCACUAGACUUCAUAGAUUGCUUCAAGCUAGUGGCGGUUUCUGGAAAUUCAGAAAUAUUUUUGAUGAUCUUUGCCGCAUCUCUAUGUCCGGAACUUGCGGCUCUUGUUGCCGCUGCAAACAUCAACUCCUGAUACGGAACUUCGACGCUGAUAUCAUGAACUUUUCACUGCUUCGAUUUUGUGCUUGAGGUUUCAAAUGAUUUACGCGGACGCCCUCUCUUGGUGUUCGACAUCGGAAGUUCUUUGAAAGUUUCAAACUCACUCAACCAAAUUUUGUUGCGCUCAAAGAAACGGUCUCUUUUCCGGUUGCUCUUUUUCCAUGCUGUUGUGAAUUUGAGUGCGAAAAAGCUAAUUUUCUUUUGAAGUUCUGCAGUAUCAAUUGUUUUGCCCUGGAACUUGUCAAUAACGUACUGACACAAAGAUGUUGUAGAACUAUCGGUAAUGAAUUGUUCAGCCAAUUCAUGGAAGGCGACUUUAAGACCUGGUGGAAAACUUUAGUUAGGGAAUCUACUUCAAAAGUUGAGAAAUUCUGUAACUUACCAACUGACAUCUUGCUUUUUUCUGUGGAACGAUAACGCACUAACCAAAAUUCAACAGCAUGCAUGCAGAAAAUCAUGCUCUGCUGACUAGGCUUCUUUGAACUAGGCUACUUUGAUCUACAUUCCUUUUCUAAUCGGGUUACAUUGUCACUCAAACAUUGUUUUCUCAAAUAUAUUUUUAUGUGUUGGUUUAAAAAAAAAACUUUGUUCUAGAUAUUUUUAAAGCAUUCAAUUGAGCACGUUGUUGCCGAAGACAUCAUACCCGUAAUUCGUACAUUGUUGAAGUUGACUGUUUUUAGAAAUUCAACAUAUAGAGACAAGUAUGGAACCUUUCAUUAGGGUAGCAUUGACAGAAGGUUCUUUGAAACGUUGAUAGUGUUUAUUUUUUAGUUAAAAAUCCAAUUUUUUUAAAAUAUGUUUUAUGUGUUGAUUCUUCAAAAAAAACUUAGUUCUAGACAAUUUUAAAGCAUUCAAUUGCGCACCUUUUUGCCGAAGACAUCAUACCUGUAUUUUCUAUAUUCUUGAAGUUAUGGCCAUUUUUUGAUGAAAAAUGACAUAUUUUCAAAAAUUAAUUAAGCGCUUUAAACAAAAAACACUUCUUUUAUUUUUUCACCAUCGAAAAAUGAAAGUGAGAUCUUUUGAAUGGAUUUAAAAGAUUGAAAAUCGGUUUGCGCCAUUCUGAAAUAUUUACAUGUAAGAAAAGCGAUUUUUUAAGAGAAAAUCUUGCAUAACUUUCUUAUUUCAAGAGAUAUAACAUUGCCCUCUUCGGAUAAAAAGUGUAAAAUCAAAAGAUCUAAAAGUGCUCGGAACAACGUUUUUGCGAGAAAUGUCCCUAUGAAAAGUUAUAAGCAAAAAACUGAUUUUUAAGGUCCACCCUAACAUCCAAGCUUCAAAAAAUCAUAACUCGUCAACCGUAAUAGUUAGGAGGUUGGUUUCUUCGGCAAAGUUGCUCCAAAUUAAUUGUUCUAAAACUUUGUAGAACAUUGUAUAGGUGUAUUUGGAAAAACAAAAAAGUUGAUAUACAAAUCUUUUAAACCAUUUGGACCACCCUAAUUUCAAUUUAUUGACUAAAUAGGACACAAAUUUUGGAAAAACUUUCCCAAAGACACCAUAUAGCUAAAAUCAAUAGUUUCGCCGUAAAUAAUUUUGUCUAGCUAGAUUCGGACCUGGGACCAUUGUGCAAUGG